rnacentral:misc_RNA from 1 species
GUCAGCUUUAGCCUUGAGCAGAACUCUAACAAGUUCUCUUCCCUCUAUCUCACGGUCUUUCUUAAGAGCAGCUGCCAUGCAUAAAGCAGUUCCUGUGGAACUUGGUAUAUCAAUAGCUUCAGAAAUCUCCUCAGGUGACGCAAGUUCAGCCCACUUCUUAACAACAUCUACAUUUAAGGUUGUGAUGCACAUAUGCAGAGGCGUUAAGUUUUUUGAAUUGAG